rnacentral:lncRNA from 1 species
CUUUGUUCAGUAUUUUGUCUCAGUUAUUUUCGUAUAUCAGUUGUAUAUCUUUUGUAUAUCUGUAUCCGUACUGGGCAAUUGGCUCAUGCUGUGUUUUUCUUCCGGCAGGUUUGCAGGGGUGAUUCAGGGCUAGUGUGAUGAGAGAGUUGUCUUUGACCAUCUAGGUGGUUUUGAUUUUUUUUUUUUUUAUUAUUAUUUUUGAUUCUAGUUGGAGAAUUAUAUUUAGUACUUCAUUGAUGGAUAUCGUUAUUAAUAUUUUGAAGUUAUUAGUGCUCUGUUUAUUUAUUUUGAGGUUUGUUGUGCUUUGUACGGGACUUCCCUUUCCUUUUCGGGAAUGGGGUGUUACAAUAUAUAAUUUGAAGAUUUAUAUAAACAAACUAAAUGAUCAUUUAAUGAAUUAUAAAUAAUGUAUUUUUAUUAAUAAAUAAA